rnacentral:rRNA from 1 species
UCUCGGCUCUCGCAUCGAUGAAGAACGUAGCGAAAUGCGAUACUUGGUGUGAAUUGCAGAAUCCCGUGAACCAUCGAGUCUUUGAACGCAAGUUGCGCCCGAAGCCAUUAGGCCGAGGGCACGUCUGCCUGGGCGUCACGCAUCGCGUCGCCCCCCCCACA